GCCCGCUUGGCCAAGCGGUAAGGCGUCGCACUUGUAAUGCGAAGAUCGCUCGUUCGAUUCGGGUAGUGGGCA